GGUAAGGGAAAUUCCCCAUUUCUCUUCUCUCUCAUUCCACUAUUCUUUAUCUCUUGCUCUGGCGACUCGCGACCCUCCCCUGGAUCCCCUCUCAGGAAAUCACUCUCCGCCAAGAUCAAAGCAGAUGAGUUAUGUAGAUCUAAGCUUCCUCAACAAGAGGAGCAACCAGCAGCAGCCUGACACUCAAUUAAUUAAGUGAGCGAAAUGCACCAAAGAGAUUAAAAGUCACUGAAAUUAACCAUACCAGUCUGCUAAUCAAGUUUAUAUCAGAACUAAAUGAGGAGCAGUAGCUGAUAGUUCGUAAACUUGAGUUCGGUUCUUUGCUUCAUAUCUCAUGCGACUGCAUAUUGGAUGACAUAUUUGAAUGGUUAGAAGCAGUUCAACACAACUACAUGCAGAAUUGAACUAAGGAAUGGUUUCAAGUUCCAUUUCACCCAAUCUGCUGUCCACAAAAUCCUAGGCAUUCCAUGUGGGGGUUUUCCAAUACAAACAAAACCUACCAAACAAACUAUUGAUUUCAUGAAUACAUUUCUUGAAACAACAAAACCAACCCCAGAACAUUUGCUCUCAAUGUUGUCUUUGCAAAGGUUGACCACCCUCACCAUCUACGAUUCGUCGCAUUCCUCAGUGGCUUUGCUCAUGAGAUUGUGUUGUUUGAUGGCGGAUUCUCUGGUAAUGAGAAACUGCUCCAGUAUGUCGUCACGGUGAAGGCCAAGGAAAACUGGAUGUGUGCUUAGAGCUGGAGGAAUCGCUGUUUUGGUGGACUUUUGAGCAAGAAGCUGUUGGGGCUGUUAGGUCUCCUGACGAUUCGGUGUUGAAGUAUGGCGAGUUCGAUGUGAGGGUGCUUUUUGCUCCCAAGGACUUCACUGUGGUUGGCUGAAACCUGAAGGGAAGUGACGAAGAUGCCCCCAUUCUAUAAUAUCCGUGAUUUAUCUGGUCGGAAUUUGAAUUUUCUUUGUAAGCCCUCAUUUGGCAGAACAACAGACAUUUGAGGACUUACUCUGUGGUUUAAAUAUGUUCAACUGCAACAGAAGUUCGAGGCCUGACAUGUAUGGUCUCUAAAUAAUGUUAAAACUGCUUAUAUGUGUGCAAAACUGUUAGAGAGAUGGUGGUUUGUAGUAUGUUUUGAGCUCUUAUAGUUUACCUCUAAGUGGUUUUUUGAAUAGCGAA